GAUGAACGCUGGCGGCGUGCCUAAUACAUGCAAGUCGAGCGAACGGACGAGAAGCUUGCUUUUCUGAUGUUAGCGGCGGACGGGUUAGUAACACGUUGAUAACCUACCUAUAAGACUUGGAUAACUUCGGGAAACCGGAGCUAAUACCGGAUAAUAUUUUUAACCGCAUGGUUCAAAAGUGAAAGACGGUCUUGCUGUCACUUAUAGAUGGAUCCGCGCUGCAUUAGCUAGUUGUUAAGGUAACGGCUUACCAAGGCAACGAUGCAUAGCCGACCUGAGAGGGUGAUCGGCCACACUGGAACUGAGACACGGUCAAGACUCCUACGGGAGGCAGCAGUAGGGAAUCUUCCGCAAUGGGCGAAAGCCUGACGGAGAAACGCCGCGUGAGUGAUGAAGGUCUUCGGAUCGUAAAACUCUGUUAUUAGGGAAGAACAUAUGUGUAAGUAACUGUGCACAUCUUGACGGUACCUAAUCAGAAAGCCACGGCUAACUACGUG
rnacentral:rRNA from 1 species